CCUGGUUCCAGAUGGUUCUACACAAUAU
rnacentral:piRNA from 1 species